AUGCUGCAGAAAAUAGUAUGGACCCUUGUAGCUCCCAUUUUUCCUCCCAGUUAUGGAAUUAUUUAUGCUACUUACUCUUACAAAUACAACCAGGUGUCCUCUUGGAGAGGGGGAGUUGGGUAGUAUUUACCUUACAGAGGCUGAAUUUUCCAAAGGAGAGCCUUUAAACUAGACAAAACUUUAAGUUUCCAAUGUUGAAGCUCAAAAUGUUCUUCUCUGAUACCCAACAGGAAAAGUGCUUACUUGAAAGAUUUGAUUUAAUUUGUCAUAGAAUACAAGGUACAGUAUUUUUUUUUUAACUUUUUUUGUUCAUUUGAGUCCUAGAGAGAAAAAUAUUCUUCUCUAUUAAUAGUAAUAUCGGAUCAUUUACCUAUUUUAUAAUUUUUUCUCUGUUCCAGUAUAUACACUUAUUUUCAUUUAAUGUCUGUUUGCAUUGCUAAAAGACACUGAAUAGAAAUGAUAAUAAUAGUGUUAAGUUGGCUCUUAUUUGAAGUGGGAAACUUCCAUAACAGAGCAAUACAUGUCUUUGUUUAUGAGUUGUGAGCCCUCAUAUUCCCUUAGAUAAUAUUCACCUUGAUACCAACCUCUUGGAUAAAUUCAGUUCUCCUUGUCUUUGUUCUCAUAGGCCACCGUAUAUACACAAUAUUUGGGCUUAUACUACUAUACUAUAAAUUGGGAAUUUUAGCCUGUGCCUUCCACUGGGACAGUGACUCCCUGAGAGUAAAACUUUGGUUUUCUGCGGUAUUCAGUCCCUGAUGUGGUGUUUAUCACAUGAUGGAUGCUCACUUUAUAUGCUUAAGAAUCCAACAAAUUGGUGUUUUGAGGAUAUGCAUUGGAUUCUAAAGUGGCAGUGUUGUCUGAAAAUAGAAUUUAUAAAUAUACAAGAUUAUUAUACUGUCAUUUGAGAUUACAUUAGAAUAUAAUUAACAAGAAAGAUGAUGCACAUAAUGCAUUAAUCAUCUCUGUAUUUGGUGUAUAUAUACAAAGGAAACAGAAAGUUAAUAAGUACUUUAACUUAAUGAGAAUUUCCCUAAAUUCAACUGUACUUUCUCUGACUGAUUUAAAUUUCACUUCAAUUACACAUCAUCUUUUCAUUUUAUAUGAAUUCCCAGUUUGUGACAUUUCUAAAUUAAAAAUUAGAUGAGAAUUUUAGAUGAUUUAAGACAAUAUUUUUAAACAUGUUACAUCAAUCUUCUGAGUUGUUUAAAAGCAAGACAUUGUCACUCUCUACUGCUGAAUAUGAUGCAUAUAAUUUAUGAUACGUUCAGUGAAUAAGGAGGAGAAUACACAGAGGUUUUUAAAUAAAAUAAAUCUUAUUUAAAUUAAAAUCUAUAUGUUGGGUUGAGUUUAGGAGCAACUGAAUAAGUAGUAGAACGUAAUUUGGAGAGCAUAAUGGCAAAUUCAGGAAUUAUUUCAGUUGCUAGGUACUAUAUAAAAGGUGCCGAGAACAGAGACAUUGAAGAACUGUGUAAAGGCCAGUUACUUUAACCAUUUAGUUUUUAGUAUGUAAAGUAAGUAGAUUGCACAAAGAAUAUUUAUAAAUUACUUUUCAAGUUUAAGCAUUUUAUUCAAUCUGUGGGAAAAUUAUAAACUCUUGUCAUGCACUAAAGCAAAGAAUAUUAAAAAGAACAAGCAUAUUAAAAACUGUAAAAGCCUACAUUAUUUUUUAAGGAAGGAUCGCAUCUUGUUUACUCUUUGUUUUUUGUGGAAGCUAUUAUAAAAGAAAAUGAAUGAGUUAACAAAUUGGCAGAUAUUAUAUAUAUAAAAAUUAAUGAGCUAUUUAGCAAUUAAUUUAAAGGAAAAGCUUAUUAAUAACUUCAGUGGAUUACUUAUAGUUUUAGAAUUUGAAGGUUGACAAAUUGCAUCUCUAAUUCAAGUAAGAAAUAAAAUUUAUAAUGGGAAGUUAUGUCUUUGAAGAGUCAGUAUCUUACUGUUGUGUGCCCAUAAAAAGGUUCAGUUAACAGAGACAAGAGAAAUACUCCUUUGAUUUUUCCCAUUAUAUGAGCAAUGCAUGCUCAUUAUCACUUGUUAAAACUACAUGGUACAUAAAGAAAAAAAAGUUAGAUUUAUAGAUUAAUAGUAACAUGGAAUAAAUCCCUAACAUUCUCUCUUCCGUAUCCUUCUCUGAAAUUAUAAAAUGGAGAUGAAGAAGUUUCAACAUCGGGACCAUAAUUCAAUUCUCUCCUAACUACUGAUUACAAUUGUGGUGGAGAAAAAGGUGUUCCUGGAGAAAGAAAGAAGACCAGAUAUUAGAGUGGGAAAGAAAAGAACAUUGAAUUAAAACAAACGAGACUCAGUGACACGGGAAAGACAUAGAGAAAAAGGCCACGUGAAGACAGAUGUAGAGAUUGAAAGGAUGCAGCUAUAAGCCAAGGAAAGCCAAGGAUUGCUGGCAGCCAUGAGAAGCUAUGAGAGAGGUAUGGAAUGGAUUCUCCCUCAGAGCUCCCAGAAGGAACUAAGCUGUUGACACCUUGAUUUCAGACUUACGGCAUCCUGCACUGUG
rnacentral:lncRNA from 1 species